CAAUAGCGUAUAUUAAAGUUGUUGCAGUUAAAAAGCUCGUAGUUGGAUUUGUGGCGUACGGUGUGUUCCGGGCACUUGUUGUCUGAGUAACCUGCUGUUGCCAUCCUUGGGUGGAACCUGUGUGGCAUUAGGUUGUCGUGCAGGGGAUGCCCAUCAUUUACUGUGAAAAAAUUAGAGUGUUCAAAGCAGGCUUAUGCCGUUGAAUAUAUUAGCAUGGAAUAAUGAGAUAGGACUUUUUUGCUAUUUUGUUGGUUUGCGCAAAGAGGUAAUGAUUAAUAGGGACAGUUGGGGGUAUUCGUAUUCCAUUGUCAGAGUUGAAAUUCUUGGAUUUUUGGAAGACGAACUACUGCGAAAGCAUUUACCAAGGAUGUUUUCAUUAA
rnacentral:rRNA from 1 species